rnacentral:rRNA from 1 species
GAUGAACGCUGGCGGCGUGCCUAAUACAUGCAAGUCGAGCGAACAGACGAGGAGCUUGCUCCUCUGACGUUAGCGGCGGACGGGUGAGUAACACGUGGAUAACCUACCUAUAAGACUGGGAUAACUUCGGGAAACCGGAGCUAAUACCGGAUAAUAUAUUGAACCGCAUGGUUCAAUAGUGAAAGACGGUUUUGCUGUCACUUAUAGAUGGAUCCGCGCCGCAUUAGCUAGUUGGUAAGGUAACGGCUUACCAAGGCAACGAUGCGUAGCCGACCUGAGAGGGUGAUCGGCCACACUGGAACUGAGACGCGGUCCAGACGCCUACGGGAGGCAGCAGUAGGGAAUCUUCCGCAAUGGGCGAAAGCCUGACGCAGCAACGCCGCGUGAGUGAUGAAGGUCUUCGGAUCGUAAAACUCUGUUAUUAGGUAAGAACAAAUGUGUAAGUAACUAUGCACGUCUUGACGGUACCUAAUCAGAAAGCCACGGCUAACUACGUG